GACGAACGCUGGCGGCGUGCCUAAUACAUGCAAGUAGGACGCAGUUGCGAACGGGUGAGUAACGCGUCGGUAACUGCCUAUUAGAGGGGGAUAACUAUUGGAAACGAUAGCUAAUACCGCAUACUAGUAGAUGGACCUGCGUUGUAUUAGCUAGUAGGUAGGGUAAUGGCCUACCUAGGCGAAGAGACAUAGCCGACCUGAGGAGGUUAUCGGCCAAAAUGGGACUGGUACACGGGCCAGACCCCUACGGGAGGCAGCAGUAGGGAAUCUUCGGCAAUGGGGGGAACCCUGGCUGAGCAACGCCGCGUGAGUGAAGAAGGUUUUCGGAUCGUAAAGCUCUGUUGUUAAGGAAGCGGUACUUAACGAGAAAGGGACGGCUAACUACGUGCCAGCAGCCGCGGUAAUAC
rnacentral:rRNA from 1 species